UACGUAGGUGGCAAGCGUUGUCCGGAUUUACUGGGCGUAAAGGGCGUGCAGGCGGUCUGUUAAGUGCAGGGUGAAAGCUCCCGGCUCAACUGGGAGAGGUCCUUGCAUACUGGCGGACUUGAGGGGGGUAGAGGAAAGUGGAAUUCCCGGUGUAGUGGUGAUAUGCGUAGAUAUCGGGAGGAACACCUGUGGCGAAGGCGGCUUUCUGGGCCCUACCUGACGCUGAGACGCGAAGGCCAGGGGAGCAAACGGG
rnacentral:rRNA from 1 species